AACCUUCACUUCUGUCCGAAAUGCUGAACUAUUAGCAACACCUAAGCAUGUACUGGUCGUCAAUUUUUGUGAGUAAUCUGUUUCAAAUUUAACUUAUCUCCUUCUCAUAUCUAACUCCACAUUCUUAUUAAGCACUCUUUCCACCAUAAUUCAUUCUUAUUAACUUAUUUUUACUCUCUUUAACCUUCCGUCAAAACUCGACGCUUAACCUAAAACUGUCACUCAGACAUGUGCUCUACACGAACUGUCUGUUCGACCUUUAAAAUUUCACAUGAUCUGAGUUCAAACCGGUUUAAGCCAGGUUGGUUUCUAUCCUUAAUUUUAUUAAAAAUUUUUAGUACGAGAGGAC
rnacentral:lncRNA from 1 species